GGCCCAGGAGGGAUAGAAAGGGCAGUGGCAGUUCCUGAUUCAAGAAGAGUGCUCUGUUUCGGUUUUGAGUUCUUUUUAGAUGCGUUCCUUCUUCACAAUGCACUCUCAAGCAUGCAUCUAAUGAAAGCCGCCUGUUUCCAGUCCUCCUAGAAUUUCAAGAUGGGCAAACUUACAGCAAAGAACUCCAGGAUGAACAUGUACCGUAUUCACGGGAAUACAAGCCAAAGUUUCUGUCCUAAUGAUGGCUGAUCGUACCGGAGAACCUGUCGUUUUGUUAUCCUGGAAUGCCAUUUAGCUUUGGAAGGGUCCGGCACAAAGGAAGCACUGUCUCCCUGCCAAGAUUUAGAAACCCCGGGACCACGGAAAGGAGCAGGAAAAAGACAAGCGCUUGCGCCCUUACAGAAGAGAAGGAACUGGAAUGAAAGCCCCAUAGAAGUUGAAAGCAGCAUGGAUACUGAAAAUCAAUUCAAUCUGGCCCAGCUUCGCAGAACAGCUGAGACAGGACAAUGGCUCAGGCCCAGUGUACAUCUUCCUGGGGUCAAAAGAGCCACAAGCGUCCAUGCAAACCUAUAUUCAUUCACCUCCCACCCCACCCUCAUUCCUUGGCAUGCCACUAUCCUGGAACCAGAACCUAAUUUGGAAUGGGAUUGAGGUUCAAGUUCAAGGCCAAAGCCUGAAAUUAGGAAUUAAAAAAAAACUUUUUAAUC